UGCCGCGUGAGUGAUGAAGGCCUUAGGGUUGUAAAGCUCUUUUACCCGGGAUGAUAAUGACAGUACCGGGAGAAUAAGCUCCGGCUAACUCCGUGCCAGCAGCCGCGGUAAUACGGAGGGAGCUAGCGUUAUUCGGAAUUACUGGGCGUAAAGCGCACGUAGGCGGCUUUGUAAGUAAGAGGUGAAAGCCCAGAGCUCAACUCUGGAAUUGCCUUUUAGACUGCAUCGCUGGAAUCAAGGAGAGGUCAGUGGAAUUCCGAGUGUAGAGGUGAAAUUCGUAGAGUUUCGGAAGAACGCCAGUGGCGAAGGCGGCUGACUGGACAUGUAUGGACGCUAAGGUGCGAAAGCGUGGGGAGCAAACCGGAUUAGAUACCCUGGUAGUCCACGCCAUACACGAUGAUUACUAGCUGUCCGGACACUUGGUGUUUGGGUGGCGCAGCUUACGCAUUAAGUUAUCCGCCUGGGGAGUACGGCCGCAGGGUUAAAACUCAAAUGAAUUGACGGGGGCCUGCACAACCGGUGGAGCAUGUGGUUUAAUUCCAAGCAACGCGCAUAACCUUACCACCGUUAGACAUGGCAAGGACGACUUCCAGAGAUGGAUUUCUUCCAUUCGGAGACCUG
rnacentral:rRNA from 1 species